CUCCAAAGUGUUGAGUUCAGUUCAGGGCAGCUUCCCUGUUCUGUUAAUUAAACUUUGGGACAUUGAAAUUGGCUGGGGGAAAUUACUGAAUAGAGAGUAUUAAUUACUCUAUUCAUAUACUUCGAGCCUACACAA
rnacentral:snoRNA from 1 species